AGAAACAUCUGGUGCCACCACAAAACAAUUGAGGUGCUCCUAAAUCAUUUAAAAAUUACAUUACUUUUUUUUUUUAAAUCAACAUUAGUGUGAGAGAAUUGAGACACAAACUGUUUUCAUUACAUGAUACCACAAAAGGAUGGUGAGAAAAUAUAGAUUUUUUGUGAUUUGGGGGAACAGGCUUUAAAUGUUGGGCUACAUACAUUUAUGCUAGGUGGUGUUGCAGGUCUUAUUCUGCAACACCACUUUGUCAGCUGCAUCUUGCUUCACACAGAGGAAGCUCCAGGAAUACACCUGCUGUGCAGGCACUUUCCUCCACUGUCGUCUCCCACAGCUUCUGUUAGUGAAGGCCUUAAUCCUCUAGGACUGGCUAUAAUACUGGAGCAUGAGAACGAUAAUUGCUACGUCAACACCACCAGCAGUACCGCUCGCCCCUCUUACAGUAGAGGGAAAAAAAUUGUCAUCCUCCAAGCAUCCUCCAACCAGCCAUGCUACACUCAACAACAACAACAACAACAACAACAACAUGAGUAAAGCUGCCACCAGUCCAAUUAGACUGUAACAGUGUAAGAUCUGGAACGCCUGACACCCAGCGUCAUUCACACCUUAUUAUAUCACACACAGCAACUAAUGAGAACUCAGCCCGGGUGACGGUGUCCAUGAUGAUGAAGGAGUCACGUUUUCGCCCGCUCUAUCUGCCUCUGAUCUGCAGUGGUCUGCUCUCUGUCCGCCUUGAUCCAUGUGGUGCUUUGUGGCUCCCUGACUGUGGUCAACAGGAAAUGAGGAGGGGUGAAUCACACUGGGAACACUGCAGUGUCCUCACCGUGUGUCUUAAUAAAGCCUUUGUGACAAGAUUUGAUGUGUUUUCUAAGAAGUCUCCACUACUUCAUAUUAAGCCCUGUGGGGGGAGGAGUGACUUCUCAUUAUCAGUCUUCUUUUUGUCUUUUCUUUUUAUAUUUCUUUGCCUGUUGAGUACUAAGUAAUAAGAUUUUUUUUAGUAUUAGAACAAACCGGUACACUGUCACUGCUCUCAUAGCAUCAGACACAGUUAGCGACUUGCUGGUGAACAUAGUGGAGCAUUUAGCAGCUAAAGAGCCGGAUAUUUCCCUCAGGAGUUGGUAAAGACCAAAAACAGAGUGAAUAUUAGACACACAAUUGCCAGAUGGUCAGAAACAUGGCUCCAAAUGUACUAGUUUUGCUCCGUAA